AGUGAACGCUGGCGGUAGGCCUAACACAUGCAAGUCGAACGGCAGCACAGGAGAGCUUGCUCUCUGGGUGGCGAGUGGCGGACGGGUGAGGAAUACAUCGGAAUCUGCCCAGUCGUGGGGGAUAACGUAGGGAAACUUACGCUAAUACCGCAUACGACCUUCGGGUGAAAGAGGGGGAUCGCAAGACCUCUCGCGAUUGGAUGAGCCGAUGUCGGAUUAGCUAGUUGGCGGGGUAAUGGCCCACCAAGGCGACGAUCCGUAGCUGGUCUGAGAGGAUGAUCAGCCACACUGGAACUGAGACACGGUCCAGACUCCUACGGGAGGCAGCAGUGGGGAAUAUUGGACAAUGGGCGCAAGCCUGAUCCAGCCAUACCGCGUGGGUGAAGAAGGCCUUCGGGUUGUAAAGCCCUUUUGCUGGGAAAGAAAUCUUUCAGGCUAAUACCCUGGGAGGAUGACGGUACCCAAAGAAUAAGCACCGGCUAACUUCGUG
rnacentral:rRNA from 1 species